GACGAAACGCUGCCGCGUGCUUAACACAUGCAAGUCGAACGGAAAGGCCCCACCUUGGUGGGGGUGCUCGAGUGGCGAACGGGUGAGUAACACGUGGGUGAUCUGCCCUGCACUUCGGGAUAAGCUUGGGAAACUGGGUCUAAUACCGGAUAGGACCAUGGUUUAGUGUCUCAUGGUGGAAAGAUUAUUGUUUUGGUGCAGGAUGAGCUCGCGGCCUAUCAGCUUGUUGGUGGGGUAAUGGCCUACCAAGGCGUCGACGGGUAGCCGGCCUGAGAGGGUGGACGGCCACAUUGGGACUGAGAUACGGCCCAGACUCCUACGGGAGGCACCAGUGGGGAAUAUUGCACAAUGGGCGCAAGCCUGAUGCAGCGACGCCGCGUGGGGGAUGACCGGGCUUCGGGUUGUAAACUCCUUUCGUUAGGGACGAAGCCGCACCUUUUUUUGGGUGUGGUGACAGUACCU
rnacentral:rRNA from 1 species